UUAGCCCUAUUUCCAGAAGCAAAAGUCUCAAGGAUGAAUCCUGCAACCUUUGAUCAAUACAGUAAUUAUCCUUCCUGCUUAAAAGCCAAGAAAUACAUUCACCAACAUGAUAAGUGAUUUAAAAAAAAAUCAUCAGUGUCUAUACUGGAUUCCCAGGCCAGGAUCUUGGUUAUCAUCUUCACUGAUGGCAAUAGUCUUUCUACUAGCUCACACACCAAUGAUCCUCCAAAGUCUAAUGACAAACUCGCCUACUAUUCUUUAAGAAAAGAGAAUGAAUUAGACAGGAAGCAGUGUUCACUUUGCAGAAUCCAGCAACAUACCUACGUCUGCACUCAUCUUCACUGGCCCACUUUCUGUUCUGUCCUAGGUCUGCCCUUUGUUCCCAUGCUUCGGUUCCUGGCCUUCUUCCUUGUGAUCAUUCAUUUCAUUUGGUGUCUCAGCAGUUCCCCCAUUUCUAUUGGCUUAUUACUAUUAUCACUAGUGUAUCCACUUAAAAAUAAUCCUUGGCUGUGGCCCCUAUAUCAUCCUCCAGGUGCUACUCCGUUUGUCUCCUGCUCUUUAUAGCAACUCAUUGAAAGUGUUGUUUCAAGCAUGAUCUCACAUCCUCUCACUAACCCACAUGACUUGCUUCCCAUCGGCUAUGGUUUGACUAUGAGUUGACCCCUGAACUCAUGCAGACAUUUAAACCCCAAAGUCAUGAGUUAAUGGUAAUAUGAAGGUAGAAACAAUCCAAUUAUGAUGUUUGGGAGGUGGAUCUAAUGAGAAAUCUUUAGGUCAUUGGGGUAUGCAGUUGGAAUGAAGUUCUCACAAGAUGAUUGUUAUAAAAGCCUGGGUUUGAUCCCAACCUCUCUCUAACUCCUAAUUAUCUAUGUGACCUCUACACAUGCCCUGCUGUAGCCAUCUGGAGCCUUUACUAGAUGCCCAACCAAUGGAGCUGCCUGAUCUUGGAUUUGAACCUCCAAAACAAUGAACUAGAUAGACCUCUUUAUAAAGUUAAGUUGCCUCUGGUACUUUGUCAUAGUAAUGAAAAGCUGACAAAUACACCAGUGUCUUCCAGUUGCUCAUGUAAGCAUUACCUUUGUGUUGUUAGAGUUUAUGAUCAGGAACAAGUGUGUAGCCUUGUAGUUAAGAUGCCUACAUAACACAUCAGAGUGCUUGAGUUCAAUUCCUGGCUCUGACUCCCAACAACAACUUCCUAGUAAUGCAGACCCUGGGAGGUAGCAGUGAUGGUCAAGUAGUUGGGCCUCUAUCACUCACUCAAGAGACCUGGAUUGAGUUUCUGGCUCCUAGCCCUGGCCAGAGCCCUGAACCUACCAUUGCUGGCAUUUGAGGAGUAAGCCAGUAGAUAGGAAUGCCCUCUGAUUCUCAGCUGAAAACCAACCAACCAACCAACGAAACAAUUGAACGAAAACCCCUGAUGAUCACUAGUCUACUUUUGUUGUUGUUGUUCUACUUGACCUCCCACAGCAUUUAGUACUACUAACCACUUUCUUUUCUCUUGAAAUGCUUUUCUAUUUGGACUUGUAUGAUACCACAUUCUGCUGAUUUUCUUCCUCCCACAAAGCCUUCUAUGUUCUUAAGUACUUCAAGUUCUGGAGUGUCUGCAAUCCUGUACUGGGCCCUGUAUCUGUUCUUCAUUUGCGUGGGCUGUCCCAGGGGAUGGUGAAAUCCCAAGGCUUUAAAUACUAAGGAUCAGCAAUGGCUUUCGAAUCUGUAUCUUCAGCUCUAACCCGCACCAGAGCCUCCACUGUACAUUCAGCACCUGAAAUCGUGUCAGGCACAUAGGAUGGAAGAAUGAGUGAUGAUUAAAUAACCUUCAGACCCUCAAACAGAUCAUCUUGAGAACUCAAAGUAUGUAACCCAAAGUGCUUCUUCUAAUUUGGCCAAAUGUUUGUGCAUUUGGGAGUGCACCUGAUACCUGCUAGCAUCUUCAAAGAUUUACUGUCAAAAACUCAUGAAUUCUUGGCAUUCCUUAGAAGAAAAAAGCUCAGUGUAAGCUUAUGUAAAACUUGACAACUGAUGGGUCCAACCCACUGUUUCUUCUGUAUCCAGUGUUUUAUAACACAAUGAAGCACUUAGAAUUGGAGAGAUUCAUAGGCCUUGGGGCAAUAGACAGUGGAGCACUGGGGAUCAAAUAUUCAAAAUCUCAGAAAGAGUUUUUUUCACAGAAUGGAAAAGUGUGUGUUUCUGUGGUUAUGUGUGUAUGUAUGUGAGCCUGUGCAUGUACUUGUGUGUACCUGUACCUAGGUGUGUGCAUGUGUGUGAGUGUGUCUCUGUGUGUAGGUAUAUAAGUGUGUAUACAUGCAUGCUUCAGGGGACAGGUGCUGGCACAGAGUUGGGGCUGGGGAAGCACUGGUGCCACACCAGCAGGAAGGGCAGGGAAGGUCAACUUCCUUGUAGGAUGAAACCUGCCCACUGUCAUUUCUGCCAGGAAGGGCACAGAUUGGCUCAGAUACACAAUCAGUCCCAGGAAAUGCAAGGUAACUAUUGAUACCUCAUGUGUGUUUUAGCCCAAGGCAUUCUCAGGGAGAGUUCUGCAGAGGUUCCUACCAGGCCUCAGGCUAAUUUGAAUUCUGGCUAAUAAUGAUCUGGAGGAAGGUGUUGCCAUUCCACUAAUGACUCUGAGUCACACCCACACUGAGGGCUUAAAUCAUGAGCAUGGACUGAGAAAGAAUGCACAUUGUAUGAACUUUAUAUCACCACUGUAACCCAUUGCCAAAGUUUAGUGGUUUAAAACACUAUGGAUUUAUGACCUCACCGUUCUGUAGGUCCGAAGUCUGACAAGGGUCUCACGUGGCUAAGUCAGGUGCUGGCUGGGCUGUGUUCCUUUGUGGGGGCUCCUGCAGAGAAUCCCUUUCCAGCUCUUACAGAUCUCUGUUGGCCCUUGCACUUGGCCUGCUACAGCUCACAACCAGCAAGCAGACAUGAAGCCCUGCUUACCCUGCUGUGUCUUUCCAGUUCUCUGAAGCUGGGAAAGGAUUUUCCCCUUUGAAGGACCAUUGUCAAGACAUUGGGUACACCUGUGUAAAACCUGGCCUUGUCCCCAAAUCAAGGUCCUUGACCUCAGUUACACCUGCAAAGUCUCCUCUGCCAUGUAAGGUGACAUAUUCGCAGGUUCUGGGGGUCAGGAUGUGGAUGUCUUUGCAGGGUGGCCACAUUACUGUGCCAAUGAUUCAUGUAGAGGUUACAUACUCGGGCUCAGUACAACUCCAUCCCUGGAGUGGAAAUGAGUCCAAAAGGGAAAAUGGCUGAUCUGAGUUGCUUGAUUCAGCAGGCCAGGCGCACGUAAGCCCUGGGGAUAUGCUGGGAGCCAAACAAGAGACACAGUUCAACUGUGAGCAGGAAGCCAACUGAAUAGGUGCCCUCUUGGGCCUGGCCCAGGGAACCCAUUUAGGAGAAAAGUCAGGGCCUUAGAAGUCCGUGGCUAUUAACUCUAAUGCUCACACUUAGUUGACAAUCAAAAGUGAGACAAACAUGUCUUAAGUAAUAAUUAGUUUUUUGGACAGGGUGUCUCUGAAGGAGACUUCUGGUAAUGAAUGCACCUGUUAAUGGUAGGAGGAACUUAAAAUAUAAUGUUAAGAGUCUAAUGAGAAGCAAUCAGCUAAAAUAAAGUUGAGUUUCCAUCAGAAAUUUAAAAAUGAAACUACUGAGACUGGGACUGUCUGGGAAGCAGAAUUAUGGCCCCCAGAGGUGGUCAAGUACUAGUGCCUAGAACCUGGGGGUACAUCACUUUGUAUUUUGGAAAUAUGUGCAAUAGAAUAUUAUGCCAUAUACAUGGCAAAUGGGACUUUGUCAGUGUGAUCCAGUCUGGGACUUUGAGAUGCUGAGAGUGUCCUGGCUGAUCUUUGUAAAAGGAAGAGGGAAACAGAAGAGAUGAGAAUCAGAGAGAUGGCCGUGUCAGAAAGACUUGGUUUGAAUAUAGAGGAAGGGACGAGAGGAAAGAACCAGAACUGGGGAAGGCCAGGGGCUCUGGAAGUUGGGGAGGGCAAGAAACAGGUUCUUCCCUGGCAUCUUGAGAACGAACGCAGCCCUGCCCUCACCUGGAUUUUCACCCUAGGACGCCUAUUUUGGACUGUGACCUAUGGACUGCACAGUAUCUGUAUUGCUUGGAGAAACCAGAUGUGUGGUCAUCGGUUACAGUAACAAUAGAAACUGAUAAGAGAAAAGGUGGGACUUUAUGGGUCUGCUUCCUGCCAUGUGGCCCCAGGUUGAAUGGAGACCUUCAAAGUCUGACUGAACUAGUGAAUGAAUAGGUAAAUAAAUGCAAAAACUAUGGGGCCCACCCCCAGGACACUUAAAAUGGUGCCACUAAAUAUAAAUGAUGCCAUUUAACUCGAUUUUUCUCUUUUAUGAACUUCUUUGAUUAGGGCAUAGAAUGCCUUCAGAACACACACACACACACACACACACACUGUCUCUCGGUAGUACACCCACAGACACACACAUGCACACAACAGCCUUGGACUUCUAAAGGACAGGGGCAACUCCAUCCCCAUCCCCGCAGCACACACACACCCCUCUGGUGUUCUUAAAUGAAGCCUGGGUGGGAGAAAAGGAAAUGCUCUCUGGUUUGGGGUCCAGCACUGGUGGGAAGGAUGACCCCUAGCAACUCCAGUGUUACAACCGGGCUGUGAAAUGUUCUGAAUCAUCUGACCUUGGACUCCUGGUUCAGGCUAAUUAAGCCUCUUCCACUGCACAGUGUCCUGGUUUGCAACUGUGGUUGUGCAACCAUUUAAAUUGUGCACCUUUGCUCCAGGGAGCUGAUUUGCUGUUUCUCUUUUGUUUCCUUGGAAGGACUCAGGCACAAGUGGGCUGUCUCCUUUUAGAACAGUGAGAAAGUAAUGGACUUGGUGCUCUCAUGGGGUGUCUGGACUUGUGGCUGUGGAAGGAACUGUUUUUGGAGAGGCUGCCUGCGUCCGUGGACCUGUGCUUGCUGCAUGCAGUCCAAACCAGGGGCGGUUUGCCCCACCCAGUGGGUCUCAGUCUUCAGUGGAUGUUGGAAUCACCUGAGGAUCUCAUGCUGGGCUGACACAAGUCGGAGACAGCAAACGCAUUAAAGGCUCAUCGUUAUCAGCUUGCUGAAGAUUCGGUUGAUGGAAUGGUGGUAAACCUCAGACGGUCCUCGGAGACAUAACCCUAUUUGUGCUCUCUCCUCAUCCUGUCCCUUCCCUUCAUGUUCUGUCCUUCAUAAAUGCUGCUUGUCUGUUAUGUGACGCGAAUGUGUAGCCUGGCUGCUUUGCCAGUCUGGCCCAUUCCCUGGGAACGUAAAAAUGUAAAAAUACCAACUGGUGAAAAUAUUGUUACUGGUGUUCAAAUGUGGAGGGGUUUGGGACACUGCAGUAAUGGAUCUAGGGUAUUUUAAAAUGUCUUUUUAAUAAUUAUAUGCAUUUCAACAUUCUUGUAAGUUUCUUGUAAUAUGAUGAUCAUUCUAACAGUCCUCUUUCAGAUGUGGAAAUUGCAAGAAGCAAAAUAUACACCUGUUUAAUAUAUUAAGUAUGCUGUAAGUAUAGAUUUCAAUGCCACACCAUAGAUUUUUAAUUUUUUUAUUUAUCUAUUUGAGAAGCAGAGAGAGGCAGAGUCAGAGAAAUUUAGAGACAGAGGUGGGGGCAUGAGUGUGGGAAAAGAGGAGGAGCUCUGAUUUGUUGGUUCAUUCUCCAAAUGCCUGUGAUGGCAGAAGCAGGAUGGGGGUUGGUGAAACCAGGAGCUGGGAAUUCUAUCCAGGUCUCUCACAUGGGUGGCAGGAACCCAACUGCUUGAGCCACUACCACUGCCUUCCAGGGUCUCAGUUAGCAAGUAGCUGGAAUCUGGAGGUAGUGUUGGAGACUAAACCCACAUGCUCUGAUAUUGAUGUGGGCAUCUUAAUUAUUAGGCCAACUGCCUACCCCACAUACCAUUGAUGUCUUAAUACGGUAAAGCUCUAUAAAUCUAAGCAAGUUCUACCUUUACUUUUUCUAAAAGUAAAGUAAAAUAUAAAUAUUUAUUUACAUUUUCCAUCUUUCAUUUGGAACUAUUAUAAAGCAUUUCUUUAUGGUUAUUCAAUUCAAUUAUUAGGCCUAUCACAGAGUCCUAGACACUGGACUAAUAAUAAUACUAAUAACCCUAAUUAUGAUUAUAUUGUAAUUGUAUGUUUAAUUCUGAUGGCUCAGUUCUCUCUCAGGUACUCAGGUACUCUGAGGGGAAUGUUGAGCAGGUAUCCAUAGACACAUACAUGGUUUAAUGGGUCAUGGACAUGGACAUAUGUAUGAUUUAAUGGGAUAUGGACCUGGAUACAUACAGUACCCACACAGACCCAGAGUUCAGUCUGGAGCCUUAGCCCCAAAGUCAUUCUCUUUAUCCUAAGGGUAAAUUAUGAAGAAAAGAGAGUUGGAGAAGGUCGCCAUCUUUGAGUUGUUUCUCUAUCAAGUUGUGCUGUGUGUGGAUACACAUUCAUCCUAUUUUAGCUCUCCUGAAUCUCCUUAUCCUAGGCACUGGCUGGGCCACUGUUUCUUCUGCACGUCUAGCAAUACAAGUUAACAACAAUUCCCUUCCUGUAUUUAUUUACUCUAAAUCUUUGAGACCAAAUCCUAUGAACCUGUGGUCCUAUAAAUUGUCUUCAUGCUACAACACUAAUACACCACCCCCUUGUUUCUCAUCACCAUCGUGGAAUUCCUUGAUGACUUUCUGAUGUUUGAGGCCUGGGAAAUUUAUUCAUGCAAUGAUUCAGCAACUAGCAUUUAUUAGCUACUGUGAAGCAGGAAUUUUGCCAGACAAUGAAGAUAUUUAGUUGAGUAAGACACUGUUUCUGCACUCAAAAAGUCAACCAUCUGUGAUUUUUUGAAAAAAAAAAUUCUUUGAGAGGAAGAGAGAAAGGAGAGAGAGAGAGAGAGAGAGAGAGAGAGAGAGAGAGAGAGAGAUUGAGGCUUGUAAAUGCCUAGGGUUGACUAGGUCAAAGUUGGGAACUGGGAACUCAAUCUAGGCCUCUCAGGUGGGUGGCAGGGACUCAGUAACUUGAGCCACUGCUUGCUGCCUCCCAGGUCUACCUUGGCAGAAAGCUGGAAUUGGGUAUUGAACUGAAGCCAGAGCAGGACAUUGAACCCAGGUACUCCAAAAUGUAAUGUAAGUAAUGUGAUUUAUGUCUUAACACUAGACUGGAGCUUCCAACCCAUACUCAGACUUGUUCGUAAUUCAUAUUUUCCUGAGUUUGAGCCAUUUGGUUGAUGUGCCCCGAAUGUCUUAUUGGACAGAAUAUCCUAGAGGAGUGGCUGAUGCAAGCUGGAGUCAGGUUGGGUGUUUGGGUUCACAUUUACCUUCUUCUGAUCAUCAGAGGACAUCCUGGAUGUAGUUAGAAUCCCCAGCUAGAGGAAUGCCCCUGCUCACACCUCUUGACCUACAGGCACCAUACUGACUUCUGUGAGGACCUGUUCCUGUGAGGACCUGUAGCAGAUCUGAUGGAUGCUUGAGUAUCAGACAAGCUGUGACCUGUGGCACUGCUAUCACAGUUAGGGGUAGCCACAGCCAGAUAUCUGUCCUUAAAUUGUGUCAGGUUUGAACAUUUUCAGGAUUAAAGCAUCCACAUUUGCUUUGUAUGCUAUUUGUGUACUCAAGUCCCCUCUUAUUUGUAAUAUUGCUUUCUGUAGUCUCAAUUACCUCUGAUCAACACCAUUCCAAAAAUACUAAAUGGAAAAUUCCAGAAAUAGACCAUUCAUGUUUGAAAUGAAUUUCAUUUUAGUAUAUUGUUUAAACUGUUUUCUAUUAUUAUUGGUUUUCAUUACCAUCUUUAUUGUGUUCAAUUUGUGAAUUAAACUUUAUCACAAGUAUGUAUAUAAAGGAAAAAUCAUGGCAUAUUUAGGGUUUUGUACUAUCCAUGGUUUCAGGCAUCCUGUAGAGGUCUUGGGAUAUAUCCCCAUGGAUAAGGAGGGACUGCUUUGUACUAAAUUCAACACUAGCAAAUACCAGUUUGGAUAACAUACUAAUUUAAAUAAUUCUUUUCUUUAGUGUCUGUAACACUGUGUCAAUGACACAAAAGCUAUAAAUGUAGUAUGUAACAUACAUACUGUACACAUACACACAAGCAGAAAUGCUUCAAAAAUGUAAUGCAAAAUGAAAUUAAAAGAUAAGUCUAUCUGAUGUAAAAAACAUUUGGAAUUCAUGCAUAUGUUUUUCAUGAUAGGCAUUUUCCAUAAGCUUUUUUUUUUUAAAAAGAUUUAUGUAUUUAUCUGAAAGGCAGAGUGACAGAGGGAGACACACAUAACACACAGGCAUACAUAUACACAUGAGAGAGAGAGAGAGAGAGAGAGAGAGAGAGAGAGAGAGAGAAUCUCCAAUCUGUUGGUUCACUCCCUGGCCUAGGCCAGGUCAAAGCCAGGAGCCUUGAACUCCAUCCAGGUCUCCACAUGAGUGGCAGAAACCCAAGUUCUUGGACUGUCAUGUGCUAUCUCCCAGGCACAUUAGAAGGAUGGGAAGUACAGAGUAGCUGGAACUUGAACCAGGCGUUUUGAUAUGGGAUAUGGCUGUAGUGAGCCACAGAUUAACCUGCUGUGCUACAAUUCCCACUCCUCCAUGCACUUUUUGAAGUGCACCCCCCAUACACAUAUACGUGUAUUGAUACAACUUUUCUAUUUGUCAACCUAAUGGGAUUAUUACAGCACAUCAGCCCUAAGGGAAGGAAGGAGUAUGUGUGGGAGUUUUCAGGCUAUCGCGUCUAUAGCUGAGCACAGAUAGUUUCAUAGAACAAUUGGUGAUGAAGAAGAAAGGAGAGAAGUUGUAGAGGAAGAGAAGUCGGGAGAUGUGCAGGAAAGUCUGUUGAGUUUGCAAGUUCCGUGGUGUCCAUUGUGCAAGGGCUGACUUCCGGGGCUGCGUAGGUGAACAAAUGCCCAGCGAGCUGGUGCUGGGGGUUGGCCACAUAUGCGGAAGUGUAACAGCUAUGGAUGUGUGGUUUGGGCAAAGGUGUCUGAUUUGCCCUCUUUUCAAUUUUCAAUCAUCUCAUCCUUAGUCUAGGCAGAGCGACGACGAGUGGCUUUCAUUCAACUUGUGCCUCAAGAGCACUUCAGGGACUGGGGAGCCAUUUCUUACCGAUUUCCCUUUCGAGAGGCUGGAUCCCCACCCGAGCAGGCCUGGCUGGCCACCGUUAGCCUCAGGGCAGCGAGGAGGCCAGAUUUCAGAUCCUCUGGGCCUUCAUGCACAGGAAGCCUUCCUCUUUCAUGUCCAGUGGGCACAGACCCCUUCACGGGGAGAUCUCUGACUACUUCCUCCUCUGUCUGAAGCUUUCUUGGCACCACACGCUUCCUGGGGUGGCUGACAUCACCCUGUGUGGAGGAGGAUUGGCCUGGCUUCUGAAAACAUGUGUGCAAUUGAGUGCAUUCUAUUAAGAAAGAGGGGAAAAAAAUCAAACCCCAAACAAAUAAGCAGACACACACACCAUCCAUGGCCAUUGCUCAGCACUGAGAACUGGCAGCUCUGUGCCUGGCAGGAGGGCAGGAGGUGACUCUGAGAGGCAUUUCUGAGGUGAACGCUAUGGUUGGGGUGAGGGGACUGAUGUGGUCCCAAGGAGACGGAUAGCACUGCCCGUCCAACAAAUCCCAUGACUCUGAAAGAGAUGUCACCACAGAGCCUAACAACUGGGAAUCUCAGCCCCAAACAAAACCACAGCACCAAGAUGUGGAAAUGAGAGAAAAGCUAAGGGCUGAGUAAAAUAUUAAAGAUUGCUAUUGGUUUAAAAAAAAAAGAAAACACAGCUCUGUGACCACCACCUGAGCCACACAGGCUUGCGUAGGAGCUAAGGGACCCCUCCACCCCCUGCACACAUGCACACACACUCACACACACACACACACACACACACACACACCAGUCAGACCCAGUCCGCCCUCAGCAGUGUUACAGCAGUCUCUUUCUGCGCACAUUGCAGAGCCCAACAUUCUUCAGGCUGGAAAACUUUCCUCACGUCUAACCUGAGGCCCUCAUGCUGCAGCUGAAAUUCCUUCCUUCCUGGAAAAGGACCUGUCACCCUUUCCUCCUCCAGGAUCCUUCAGACUUGUGUUGACGUGAACAACAAAUCCUGUUUUCUCCUCGGUUAUUCAAGGAGAAUCUCCGUAUCUGUAACUUCUGGAGAACCUCUGUCAGAUGCUGGUGCUCAGGGGACCCGGCGCAGGCACCCCUGUUCUGGGUUGUCAAGGAAAAUCCUCUGGCCUGGAUUCUUGGUUUCCAAACAGAAUGCUGCACACUGUUUAAAGAGUAUUUUGUUUUCCUUUUCUGGAACCCAUUGUGUGUUGCGUCAGAGACAAUGAGCGGUUCACACAGCUGCAGUUAUCCAAGUAUUAAACUCCCCAUGCUGUCCGAGGGCACAGUCCCACUGCCUGCAUGGGGUGUGGGGGUCUGGGUGGACUGUGCAGGAGUGUGGCUGGGGGGCCAGGGUCCCGAUUCUGUCCUCCCUCCCCGCUGCGACUCACACACUGUGGAACUGAGUAACUGUUGGCAAGGUCUGGGCCACAGUAAGCCAGACUGGGCGGGGAGAGGAUUCCAUUAUUAUAACACAAUGCCAUAAUAGGAUAGGACAUUCCUUUCAUAUUCUUACACAACAGGAAUCUUUAAACUCCACUGUUACUCUGAAAGGGGAGGCAAAAUGCACCCAGCGCUUUGUUGUGUUUUUGCCACCAAAGUUACCUUAUUCAUCGUGGGGGUUGUGUGGGCCUCAGCCUCCUGAGCUUGGUUUUCGCAGCUUCUGGAAAGGGUUGGGCAACACCUGAGGACAAUCGCGGCGCUCACUCACCCCAGCCCUGCUGGGAGCUUCUGCUGGAGCCCUUUGCUGCGGCGUGGCUCCGAACCUGGCAGCCGGGGCUGCUCUUGGGAAGCUGGCCCUUUGGGGGCACUGUGCUGGUUCUUACCAGAUGGCCUUUGGGUGUGGAGUCAGUGCACAAGAGGCCUCCUCAGGGCACUGGGGUUCUCCAGUCGUGCAGAGCCGACGGGGACACACUGGUCUCUGAAUGAGACCACCGCCAACCCCACUGCCCUUCCCUGCAGAGUGGGCGUGAGGCUCAGCCAGCACUGGGGAAGGCCUAGCAGAGGCCUCUGCAUCCCUUGCCAAUGCUGUUGACAGGCCGACUCCCUGACCAGGCGUGGGUGCUGAGGCUCAGGAACCUGGAUGCUCUUUCUAUUUGGCCAUGACCUUAGGCUUUAAUUUCCUACCACAGAGUCUGGGUGGAGAAUCACUGGGCAGGGGCUCAGCUAGGAGGCUGACGUGGAGCGAAUACCAGCAGACAUGGGGCAUUUUCUUUAUAAAAGUGUAGCAAAUGAGUUUAACAGUCUUUGUGACCUGGUCCAUCCCAAAUCCCAAUCUCUGACGUUGAUGGUGAUAGAGAUCGGAAUAUAAUGAAGGAAACCCAACAAACUCUGCAGCGUUCCAAUAUUCCAUUGAUAGUAAUUUAAACUCUCAUCCUUAAUUUGUUCUUAUACUUGCUCCUGUAGCAUUUGUUUAUUUAGACUACUGGGCAAGAGCCCUUCCUAAAAAUCUUUGUAAAUUCUUAAGUGCAAACAAGUAGCAUUCUCCAUGCCACCCAGCACUCUGCAAGGUUGGGCUGUCUGGGCAGUGUUGCAGACAUUUUAAUAACCCCUUGUGGGCAAAUGAUGACACUUUUUCUUAUUUUCCAGUAGGCUUCUAUUUGUUCUUUGAAUGAGACUCCAUAUGUAAAUGGAUGAUUAUUCUCUGAAUUUCUUCUGUGCAAGUUGAGCACCAGAAUCUCCCAUAUUAUGUGUACAGAAUCUGGGCCUGAAUUUCAACCGUGAAUAUCAAUGAAGCAAAGCAAUAAAAAUCCAUAAAAAAUUAACAUUGCUAAAGAGGACUUCAAACCUCUCGGUGCUACAGCUCUGAGGUCAGUGGUAAGUGACCAUGGUUUAAUGAAGUGGGGCUCCCUCUGAUUAGGGAGAAGUGGGCAUGGCAUCUUCUGCGGCAUAAAUAGCCUGCCUCUGAGCAUGCCAAGCAGUUGCUUUCAGAGGCUGAAUUUUCUCCCAGCCUGGGUGAGUUGGCAGUGGACAGGAGAGGACAUUCCAGUGAAACCGGGCCAUCGGGAGCUGAAGACAAAGGCAGCUGAUUCAAGUGCGCAAAAUUGGAGUUUCUCUAAUCAAAUAUAUUAAAUUCACCAUUAUUCUUGAUUGUUUUAAUGGGAAGAAAGGGCAGCUGUGCCCUUCAUUUUCUAAGCAUUUUAUUUAGUGCUGAGGAGUUGGAGAA